GCCAGGUGUGGUGGUGCACACCUGUAGUCCCAGCUACUCCAGAGGCUGAGGUGGGAUGAUCACCUGAGCCCAGGAGCUUGAGGCCGCAGUGAGCUGUGAUUGCACCACUGGAUUCCAGCCUGGGCAACAGAGUGAGACCCUGUCUCUU
ensembl:misc_RNA Metazoa_SRP Metazoan signal recognition particle RNA